rnacentral:rRNA from 1 species
AACGUAGGACACAAGCGUUAUCCGGAGUUACUGGGCGUAAAGGGCGUGUAGGCGGACGUGUAAGUCUAUUCUGAAAGCUCCUGGCUAAACUGGGAGAGGCGAAUGGAGACUGCAUAUCUAGAGUGAGGAAGAGGAAAGUGGAAUUCCGCGUGUAGUGGUGAAAUGCGUAGAUAUGGGGGAGGAACACCGGGUGGCGAAGGCGGCCACCUGGACGGUCACUGACGCUGAGACGCGAAAGCGUGGGUAGCAAACAGG